UGGGGAAUAUUGGGCAAUGGGGGAAACCCUGACCCAGCAACGCCGCGUGAAGGAAGAAGGUUUUCGGAUUGUAAACUUCUGUCCUAAGGGAAGAAAGAAAUGACGGUACCUUAGGAGGAAGCCCCGGCUAACUACGUGCCAGCAGCCGCGGUAAUACGUAGGGGGCAAGCGUUGUCCGGAAUUAUUGGGCGUAAAGGGUGCGUAGGCGGCCGAUCAAGUCAGGUGUGAAAGACCCGUGCUUAACAUGGGGGUUGCACUUGAAACUGGUUGGCUUGAGUAUGGGAGAGGCAAGCGGAAUUCCCGGUGUAGCGGUGAAAUGCGUAGAGAUCGGGAGGAACACCAGUGGCGAAGGCGGCUUGCUGGACCAAAACUGACGCUGAGGCACGAAAGCGUGGGUAGCAAACAGGAUUAGAUACCCUGGUAGU
rnacentral:rRNA from 1 species